rnacentral:rRNA from 1 species
CUUACGCCCCCGGGCCCGCGCCCGCCGAAGACACCCUCGAACUCUGUCUGAAGAUUGUAGUCUGAGUGAAAAUAUAAAUUAUUUAAAACUUUCAACAACGGAUCUCUUGGUUCCGGCAUCGAUGAAGAACGCAGCGAAAUGCGAUACGUAAUGUGAAUUGCAAAUUCAGUGAAUCAUCGAGUCUUUGAACGCACAUUGCGCCCCCUGGUAUUCCGGGGGGCAUGCCUGUCCGAGCGUCAUUGCUGCCCUCAAGCACGGCUUGUGUGUUGGGCCCCGUCCUCCGAUUCCGGGGGACGGGCCCGAAAGGCAGCGGCGGCACCGCGUCCGGUCCUCGAGCGUAUGGGGCUUUGUCACCCGCUCUGUAGGCCCGGCCGGCGCUUGCCGAUCAACCCAAAUUUUUAUCCAGGUUGACCUCGGAUCAGGUAGGGAUACCCGCUGAACUUAAGCAUAUCAAUAAGCGGAGG